rnacentral:misc_RNA from 1 species
GAUGAAGAACGCAGCGAAAUGCGAUAAGUAGUGUGAAUUGCAGAAUUCCGUGAAUCAUCGAAUCUUUGAACGCACAUUGCGCCUCCUGGUACUCCGGGGGGCAUGCCUGUCCGAGCGUCAUUUGUACCCUCAAGCUUUGCUUGGUGUUGGGCGUCUUGUCUCUAGCUUUGCUGGAGACUCGCCUUAAAGUAAUUGGCAGCCGGCCUACUGGUUUCGGAGCGCAGCACAAGUCGCACUCUCUAUCAGCAAAGGUCUAGCAUCCAUUAAGCCUUUUUUUCAACUUUUGACCUCGGAUCAGGUAGGGAUACCCGCUGAACUUAAGCAUAUCAAUAAGCGGAGGA